rnacentral:rRNA from 1 species
GACGAACGCUGGCGGCGUGCUUAACACAUGCAAGUCGAGCGGAGCGGCGAACGGGUGAGUAACGCGUGAGUAACUGCACCCCUCUCUGGGAUAACAGUUGGAAACGGCUGCUAAUACCGGAUAGUGGGGGAUGACUCGGGUCAUAUCAGCUUGUUGGUGGGGUAGUGGCCUACCAAGGCGAGGACGGGUAGCCGGCCUGAGAUGGCGACAGGGCACAGUGGGCUGGGAUACGGGCCAAAGGCAUUCGGGAGGCAGCGGCGGGGAAUAUUGGACGAGGGGGAAACUCUGUUGCAGCAGCGCCGGUUCGUAAAGACGGCCUUCGGGGUGUAAAGGGCUUUCAGCCAUUACGCGGUAGUGGCAGAAGAAGCACCGGCUAACUACGUGCCAGCCGCCGCGGUAAUAC